UACGUAGGGGGCUAGCGUUGUCCGGAAUCAUUGGGCGUAAGCGCGUGUAGGCGGCCGGUAAGUCCGCUGUGAAAGUCGGGGGGCUCAACCCUCGGAUGCCGGUGGAUACUGUCGGGCUUGAAUCUGGCAGAGGGGGUAGAAUUCCACGUGUAGCAGGUGGAAAUGCGUAGGAGAUGUGGGGGAACACCGAUGGCGAAGGCAGGCCCCCUGGGU
rnacentral:rRNA from 1 species